rnacentral:rRNA from 1 species
AAUGAACGCUGGCGGCAGGCCUAACACAUGCAAGUCGAACGGAUCCUUCGGGAUUAGUGGCGGACGGGUGAGUAACGCGUGGGAACAUACCCUUUGGUACGGAAUAGCCUCGGGAAACUGGGAGUAAUACCGUAUGUGGUCGAGAGACGAAAGAUUUAUCGCCAAAGGAUUGGCCCGCGUUGGAUUAGGUAGUUGGUGGGGUAAUGGCCUACCAAGCCGACGAUCCAUAGCUGGUUUGAGAGGAUGAUCAGCCACACUGGGACUGAGACACGGCCCAGACUCCGACGGGAGGCAGCAGUGGGGAAUCUUAGACAAUGGGGGAAACCCUGAUCUAGCCAUGCCGCGUGAUCGAUGAAGGCCUUAGGGUUGUAAAGAUCUUUCAGGUGGGAAGAUAAUGACUGUACCACCAGAAGAAGCCCCGGCUAGCUCCGUGCCAGCCGCCGCAGUAA